rnacentral:rRNA from 1 species
GUCUAUGGUCAUACCACCCUGAACACACCAGAGCUCGUCUGAUCUCCAAAGCUAUGCAGGGUUGGGCCUGGUUAGUACUUGGGUGGGAGAACUCCAUCCUGAUCUCCAAAGGGG